rnacentral:misc_RNA from 1 species
GACGAAGAACGCAGCGAAAUGCGAUAAGUAAUGUGAAUUGCAGAAUUCAGUGAAUCAUCGAAUCUUUGAACGCAUCUUGCGCUCCUUGGUAUUCUGAGGAGCAUGCCUGUUUGAGUGUCAUUAAAUUCUCAACUACACUGACUUUGAAUUGGUGUGGCUUGGAUUUGGGGGGAAAAUUGUUGUGGGCUUUUUGUAUAGUCUGCUCCCCUGAAAUUGAUUAGCGGUACCUUUGUGGAACUGUCUACAGGUGUGAUAAUUAUCUACAUCUUAGACAUCUGCUGGAAUGCUGCUUUCUAAACCUUACUUGUAUUGACAAUCUUGACCUCAAAUCAGGUAGGACUACCCGCUGAACUUAAGCAUAUCAAUAAGCGGAGGA